rnacentral:rRNA from 1 species
UACGAAGGGAGCUAGCGUUGUUCGGAAUUACUGGGCGUAAAGGGCGCGUAGGCGGUUUAGCAAGUUGGACGUGAAAGCCCAGGGCUUAACCCUGGAAUUGCAUUCAAGACUGCUUCACUUGGAUUCGGUAGAGGUUGGUGGAAUUCCCAGUGUAGAGGUGAAAUUCGUAGAGAUUGGGAAGAACACCCGUGGCGAAGGCGGCCAACUGGACCGACAUUGACGCUGAGGCGCGAAAGCGUGGGGAUCAAACAGG